ACCUAUAAUAGACGGUGACUUAACGA
rnacentral:rasiRNA from 1 species